GGAUUUCAUAUCUGACGCCACCCUCUAAAAGGCGAAGUUUUAAAGGAGGCUCGAGCCGUAUCGACCUAGAUGCGCAAAAUCGCAAUCCGUCCACGCCCGCAGAUUCAAAGGAGUCAAGGUGGAAUCUAAAGGCUGGAUUGAAGGUCUUGGCUGGAGAGACAAAAGAACCAGACGAAUUUUUUUUAUCUGCGAUGAGGUGUAUGAAAUCGACCAACUAGC